rnacentral:tRNA from 1 species
GGUGGCUCAGUGGUAGAGCGCUUGCUUUGCAUGCAUGAGGUCCUAGGUUCGAUUCCUCAGCACCA